CGGGGAAAGUGAAAACGCAGAUAAGGGGAGACUACUGCAUAACUAAGUACAGCACCUCUGUGAGCCUAAGUUCCUUCUAUGUAAAAUGGGGACGCUUCGUAAGUGAAACUUAAAUAAGAAAAUUGAUAUUGCCUAGGGCCUGAUACAUUCUAAGUGCUCAUAAAAUGUCUGGAAUUAAUUCACAAUGCUAUGUCCCUCUUUCAUCAUACCCAGCCAAGGUCUCUCUCAUUUUUUCUGGAUAAACACUUUGGCAAAAUGGUUCUUUCCUCCCAGCCUUUUCGGGUCUGAGACACCCCUACCAAAACCGGAGUCUACUCAACAGGCCCAAAAGAGCCGAGAGGGAACGGAUAAGGCUUACACUGCAGCUGUCCAUCUCCUGCUGGGGCCCUGUUUCCAGGCAGCAGGGACCGCCCCUCAGCCAGCUGUGUGGACUUUUCAUCACUGGCUAUUUCAGGACAGAGUCCAAGAUAAGCACUUCUCUGGGGCUUCCUUUCAGACAAAGCUCUCCGGAGACUUGAAGCUCAUUAGCCUGACCUUUGGUCUCUGGAGAACAUGAGGAAAUAUCCUACUCUGAGAGAAUGGAAACACCAAGCGCCCAAGGGGCAGGCCUGAGCAACAAGACACAGAGCUAGAAAAGGAGGCAAAAUGAAGAGAGCGAGUCCCAGAGAGGUUGUAUGAUUCGUCCAAGGUCACACAGCCAGAGAGCUGCAGAGCUGGACUGAAGCCCAGGUCUGCUGAUUUCGAGUCCUGGGCUCCUCCCCAGAUUGAGAAGAAGAAAUGGCGAUUCUUCUUUACUAGCAUGAAAAACAGGAAAGUGAAGAGACUCACUGGCUGAGAACAGGGAGGAGCCUGAGAGAUCACUGAUCCUGCCUAAACCCGGACGAGCCUCUCCACGCAUCCUCGCUUUACUGGCCCUAUGCUGGUUCUUGAGGACACACUGGACUGCUUUCAGCCUCCACAACAAAGGGUGCAGUCCUUACCGGAAGCCCAGAAGCCCUCAAGACAUGGAUCAACUUCCUUCAGCCAGUCAGAUUCACUCCUCCUUCUCCUGCAAAGUACCGGCUCGUCCCUAGACAUGCACACACUCGGCCACCUCCAUCCACUUGUCGGUGCUGUUUUCAUUUGCCUGUGCAGCAUUUUUCCCAUUGGCUUCCUGUCCAGUUUUUCAAACCCAGCAGGGAUGUCACUUUCUCUGGGAAAUCCUUCCUGGCUGAAUCCCCCUGUGCUCUUUGGUGCUUCCCUAACUCUCAUUGAC
rnacentral:lncRNA from 1 species